AUGGCUCACGCCUGUAAUCCCAACACUUUGGGAGGCCGAGGAGGGCGGAUCACGAGGUCAGGAGUUUGAGACC
rnacentral:SRP_RNA from 16 species